AGAUAUAUUUGCUGGAAUUGAUGACAAGAAGAUCAUAGAACAUUUUCACAGCUUGAGAGACCGUAGAGGCCAUCUACCAAACCCUCCCCGUAUACUUACGACUUAGGGUAAAUACUUUUGUUAUCUGUUUCAAACUAUUUGCUUACUUGUUCCAAUACAUGUAUUGAUAUCAGCUUGUUGACCUGUUGUAGGUAUCUAUUAAUCAUGGAGUUGGACAUUUUGGGCCAUGGAAUGCAUUAUUCAAGCAACGGGAGUCCAAGUUAGUAGUUAUGUGUGACGUUUAUGUUAUAUUUUGUGAUUUUAGGUGGUUACAGCCUAGUUCUUGAAAAUCUUGAACUGUCCUAAAUCAUUGGUCAUGUAAAUUUUCGAAUGCAUCUAGCUUCAUAUUUCAAUUUUAUGAGACUUGGUUCAGCGGACUUGCAUUCGUCAAUCAAAUUUUUUAUUCCUUCAAUGUUUCGCCCCGGCUAAGUUCAAUUCCUG
rnacentral:lncRNA from 1 species